AGCGAACGCUGGCGGCAGGCCUAACACAUGCAAGUCGAACGAACCUUUCGGGGUUAGUGGCUGACGGGUGAGUAACACGUGGGAACGUGCCUUUAGGUUCGGAAUAACUCAGGGAAACUUGUGCUAAUACCGAAUGUGCCCUUCGGGGGAAAGAUUUAUCGCCUUUAGAGCGGCCCGCGUCUGAUUAGCUAGUUGGUUGAGGUAAUGGCUCACCAAGGCGACGAUCAGUAGCUGGUCUGAGAGGAUGAUCAGCCACAUUGGGACUGAGACACGGCCCAAACUCCUACGGGAAGCAGCAGUGGGGAAUCUUGCGCAAUGGGCGGAAGCCUGACGCAGCCAUGCCGCGUGAAUGAUGAAGGUCUUAGGAUUGUAAAAUUCUUUCACCGGGUACGAUAAUGACGGUACCCGGAGAAGAAGCCCCGGCUAACUUCGUG
rnacentral:rRNA from 1 species